ensembl:lncRNA
AGUAAAAAUAAAGAAAAACACUUGAAUGAGUAGGUGUGUCCAAACUUUUGACGGGUACUGUUUAUAUAUAAUGUAACAUGUCUCGCCUUGAAAAUGGCCAUUGAUAAACAGAACUUAAUUUAUGAACAAUUGUGUAUUCUUUAUUUUUCCCCAGACUGUUUUCUUGUCCUUUGCACUGAAGACAAAUGGCCAUUGACAAGGAUCCCUCUGUGCCAGUGUCUAUCCAACAUUGGUCAUCACCAUCACACACUCCCACUCCGCUAUCUGUACCAGAGGAUAAACAGAGCAGCUCCUACCCAGUCACGGCACCCAGCCUCUCCCUGAAUUGUAUGCAGUCAGUCAGUUUCCACCCAACCAAGUCUCUCACAUUCUAUUCUCCUCUCACUCCAAGUUAUUGAUUGCCAUGACUUGGGUGACAUCAUCACAGAUUUGAUCAUCAGCCUUAUGGAUUUUUUUGACAGACAAUUUACUCUGUUCUGUGCGUGGCCAUACGUCUCGCCAUCCAUACCCAAAAAUGUACACCGGGACAGGGUAUUUUGUGGGAGUCCUCUCUUCAGUGGGAUUGUUGGAAUAGGAUUGCUGGAUGGAAUAGGACCAACGUAAAGACAAUCGACUAUGUGACCGUGGGACUGCUGUUGUUUAGGCCAUGGUCUUGUCAGGGAGGGACCAGCUCUCACCCAAUGGGAGGAAGGAGACAUGUGAGGACACACACAUAUACACACUCUGGCACUCUGCCAAGUAAAUACCCUGACUUCAGCUGGUUAAAUGGUUUUAAAGUGUCAAAGGUUUAUAAUUAAGUAUUGACCUUCAUUCCUUCUGACAUUCCUGAAUGGAAUAUGCAUGCUUUUAAUUUGUAUGUUAGUAGUCUUUUAUUUUACUUAUUUAUUUUCUGACUGUUUUAACUGUUUACCAUCAACACAAGCAUGCUAAAAGCAAACACUCACAAACACAUUAAACAAAAGCUGCUACAGUAUUUCAAUGCACCGUCCGCAUGUUUGUCAGAACAGAGCAGUAGUGUAAUACACAUUUCUCUGUGCAUUAUUAUGUUGUGCAGUCUUUUGUUGGAAACAUACAUUUUACCAGUACGUACAUACUAUCCCAGCUCAUCCUUGGAACAGUGAACUCCAACAAAACGCUCCAUUUGCCUCCUAAUGCCAUGCUAAGGUCAUUUUUCCUAACCUACUAUCUCAAUGGUGUUAUAAACUCAGCUUAAAUCAAUAUAAUGAUGUAAAAGUCCAGUGGGCCAGAUUCAGGCUGGGAGCCCAUAAGGUCAGUAUGAAAUGCGCCUUCCUUUCCCAAUUGACCUCUGCCUUGGAUUCCCUCAGCCUCUAAAGUGUAGCAUCUACAUGCUGCUGAUUACUGAUGAUCACAGCUCUGCCUGCCUGCUACCACACUCUGCUGGGUAUACUCUCUGGUGGCUUGUACGUUGACAUAUUAUGGGGUGG